AACGAACGCUGGCGGCAGGCUUAACACAUACAAGUCGAGCGCCCCGCAAGGGGAGCGGCAGGCGGGUGAGUAACGCGUGGGAACGUACCCUUUGCUACGGAAUAGCUCCGGGAAACUGGAAUUAAUACCGUAUGUGCCCUACGGGGGAAAGAUUUAUCGGCAAAGGAUCGGCCCGCGUUGGAUUAGCUAGUUGGUGGGGUAAAGGCCUACCAAGGCGACGAUCCAUAGCUGGUCUGAGAGGAUGAUCAGCCACAUUGGGACUGAGACACGGCCCAAACUCCUACGGGAGGCAGCAAUGGGGAAUAUUGGACAAUGGGCGCAAGCCUGAUCCAGCCAUGCCGCGUGAGUGAUGAAGGUCUUAGGAUUGUAAAGCUCUUUCACCGGUGACGAUAAUGACGGUACCCGGAGAAGAAGCCCCGGCUAACUUCGUGCCAGCCGCCGCCGUAAGAC
rnacentral:rRNA from 1 species